UACAGAGGUCCCCAAGCGUUGUUCGGAUUCACUGGGCGUAAAGCGUCCGUAGCCGGUUUGAUAAGUCUCUUGUGAAAUUGUUGGGCUUAACCUAACAACGUGCAAGGGAAACUAUCUCACUUGAGACUGGGAGGAGGCAGAAGUAUUCUGAGGGUAGCGGUAAAAUGUUAUAAUCCUCGGAGGACUACCAGUGGCGGAGGCGUCUGCCUAGAACAGGUCUGACGGUGAGGGACGAAGGCCAGGGGAGCAAAACGGAUUAGAUACCCGAGUAGU
rnacentral:rRNA from 1 species